rnacentral:tRNA from 1 species
GUCCCCUUCGUCUAGAGGCCAGGACACCGCCCUUUCACGGCGGUAACAGGGGUUCGAACUCCCCGUAGGGGACGCCA